CGAGGGUGCAAACGUUGCUCGGAUUUACUGGGCGUAAAGCGCGUGUAGGCGGACUCGCAAGUCGGUUGUGAAAUCCCUGGGCUCAACCUAGGAACUGCAUCCGAAACUGCUUGUCUUGAGUAAUGGAGAGGGUGGCGGAAUUCCCGGUGUAGAGGUGAAAUUCGUAGAUAUCGGGAGGAACAUCAGUGGCGAAGGCGGCCACCUGGACAUUUACUGACGCUGAGACGCGAAAGCGUGGGGAGCAAACAGGAUUAGAUACCCGCGUAGUCC
rnacentral:rRNA from 1 species